rnacentral:lncRNA from 1 species
UGUGAUAAUUUCUGCUGUACAACAGAGUGAUUCAGUUAUACAUGUACACACAUCCAUCCUCUUUCAGAUUCUUUUCCCACACAGAUCAUCACAGAAUAUUGGGUAGAGUUCUCUGUGCUAUACAGCAGGUUCCUAUUGGCCAAUCAUUCUAUAUACCUCAGUGUGCAUAUGCCAAUCCCAACCCCCAGUCCAUCCCCCCAUCCCACCCCGCAACUUGUACCCUUUGGUAAACCAUAAGUUUUUCAAAGUCUGUGAGUCUGUUUCUAUUUUCUAAAUAAGUUCAUUUGUAUCCUUUUUUUUAAGAUUCUACAUAUAAGUGAAACCAUAUGACUUUUGUCUUUCACUGUCUGACUAACUGUACUUAGUAUGAUAAUUUCUGGGUCCAUGCAUGUUACUGAAAAUGGCAUUUUUCAUUCUUUUUAAUGGCUGAAAAAAAAAAAAAAAAAGGAGUUCCCGUCGUGGCGCAGUGGUUAACGAAUCCGACUAGGAACCAUGAGGUUGAGGGUUCGGUCCCUGCCCUUGCUCAGUGGGUUAACGAUCCGGCGUUGCCGUGAGCUGUGGUGUAGGUCGAAGAUGCAGUUUGGAUCUGGCAUUGUUGUGGCUGUGGC